rnacentral:misc_RNA from 1 species
GUAGGUGAACCUGCGGAAGGAUCAUUAAUGAGAUUGCUGUUGGGUGCAGUGAUGUAUCCACCAGUAAGAUUCAUCCUUGUGUUAUGUAACAUGUUGAUUGUGUGGUGCUGUUGCAUUGCACAUCAUUUUAUUCCAUUUCAAUCCACCUCUUAUUCUACGCCUGUAACAAGGCACAAACAAUCGAAAACUGCCAGCAAUGGAUCACUCGGUUCUC